CAGCAGCCACGGUAAUACGGAGGGAGCUAGCGUUAUUCGGAAUUACUGGGCGUAAAGCGCACGUAGGCGGCUUUGUAAGUUAGAGGUGAAAGCCUGGAGCUCAACUCCAGAAUUGCCUUUAAGACUGCAUCGCUUGAAUCCAGGAGAGGUGAGUGGAAUUCCGAGUGUAGAGGUGAAAUUCGUAGAUAUUCGGAAGAACACCAGUGGCGAAGGCGGCUCACUGGACUGGUAUUGACGCUGAGGUGCGAAAGCGUGGGGAGCAAACAGGAUUAGAUACCCGUGUAGUCCCUGUCUCUUAUAC
rnacentral:rRNA from 1 species